GUGUUCUCUUUGGCAGCACAUAUACUAAAAUAGAAUCAAUACAGAGAAGAUUAGCAUGGCUCCUGUGGAAGAAUGGCACGCAAAUUCAUGGAGUGUUCCCUAUUUUU